AUGUCUGCCACCAGCGCAGUAGAUGGAAUGGAAGCUAGCAGGUCGUCGUCGUUGCUUCCGGCGGCUCUCCUAAUGCUGCUGGGCCUCCUCCUGAGCCGCCGCGCCUGCUCCAGCCCUCCGCCGGACUCGGUGGCCUGUGCUCGCGGCACGUCCGACUGCACCCUCGCCAACGUCUACGGCUCCUUCCCGGACCGCACCGCCUGCCGCGCCGCCGACGCCGCGUUCCCACGCACCGAGGCCGAGCUGGUGGUCGCCGUGGCGGCCGCCGCAGCGGCCAAGCGCAAGGUGAAGGCGGCCCCCAGGCACUCCCACAGCUUCCCCAAGCUGGCCUGCCCGGGCGGCCGCGACGGCACCAUCAUCAGCACGGCGCGGCUCAACCGGACGGUCAGCAUCGACGCGGCCCAGGGGCUGAUGACCGUGGAGGGCGGCAUGGUGCUCCGGGACCUGAUCCGCGACGCCGCCGCCGCGGGGCUCGCGCUGCCGCACUCGCCCUACUGGUACGGCGUCAGCAUCGGGGGCCUGCUGGCCACGGGCGCGCAAGGGAGCUCGCUGUGGGGGAAGGGCAGCGCUGUGCACGAGUACGUGGUCGGGAUGAGGAUCGUCGCGCCGGCGCCGGCGAGCCAGGGGUUCGCCGUGGUCCGGGAGCUCGGCGCCGACCACCCCGACCUCGACGCGGCCAAGGUCUCGCUCGGCGUCCUUGGCGUCGUCUCGCAGGUUACUCUGCAGUUGCAGCCGAUGUUCAAGCGGUCCGUCACGUUCCUGGAGCGCGAUGACUCUGACCUGGCAGCGCAGGUGGCCGUGUGGGGCCAUCUGCACGAGUUCGGCGACAUGACAUGGCUGCCGCGGCAGGGCAAGGUCAUCUACCGCCAGGACGAUCGUGUCGAUGUCUCGUCGCCCGGCGAUGGCCUCAACGACUACCUCGGCUUCCGUUCCUUCCCGACGCUCGGGCUCAUCGUCGCAAGAGUCGCGGAGGAGCAUGUGGAGGAAAGCAACGACAUGGCACGGUGCCUAGCCGCGGGGGUGCUGCCCGCGUCGUUCCCCAUGCAGGCGUACGGCUUCACCAACGACGGCUCCUCCUUCACGGGAUACCCGGUGGUAGGGUACCAGCACCGCAUCCAGGCAUCCGGCUCGUGCAUCGAUGCCAAGGACAACCUGCUCCGCUCCUCAUGCCCAUGGGACCCACGCGUCCGGAGCCUCUUCUUCUACAACACUGGCUUCAGCGUCGCGCUCUCCAAAGCCCCAGCGUUGGUCGCCGACAUGCAACGACUCCGCGACCUCAACCCGCGCGCCCUAUGCAGUCUCGACGCCAAGAUGGGCGUGCUCAUCCGCUACGUUGGGGCCUCCUCCGCCUACCUCGGCAAGACGGAGGACUCGGUCAACUUUGACUUCACCUACUACCGGAGCUACACCCAGGGUAGGCCGCGUGCUCACUCUGAUGUGAUCGACGAGCUCGAACAGAUGGCUUUGCGCAAGUAUGGCGCCGUCCCGCAAUGGGGCAAGAACCGCAACUUCGCCUUCGACGGCGCCAUCGCCAAGUACGCAAAGUCCGGCGAGUUCCUCAAAGUGAAGGAGAGGUAUGACCCAGACGGGGUCUUCUCUAGCGAGUGGAGCGACCGCGUGCUCGGCAUCGAUGGGAGCCCCAACAUCGUCCACAAGGGUUGCGCCAUUGAAGGGCUCUGCAUAUGCUCUCACGACUCGCACUGCGCGCCGGAACAAGGCUAUUACUGUCGGCCUGGAAAGAUGUACGCGGAGGCAAGGGUAUGCCCGUUCCAACCCACCUCUCACCGCGACCACAACGACGAAAUAUGA
rnacentral:rRNA from 1 species